UUAUAUAUGUGUGUAUAUAUAUAUAUAUAGAUAUAAAUAUAUUUAUACGCGCAUUCAGACUACACACGUGGUACGCAAAUUUCGAGCGUUUUGUUUACGAG